CAAUAGCGUAUAUUAUUGAUGUUGCAGUUGAAACGUUCGUAGUCGAAUCUUAUCUGCCAAAGCAUCAUGUCAUUUAUGAUGACAUAAUGCUCUCGGCAGAGAUUGUACAAGCGUUUGCAUGUGUUUCACAUGUCUGACCUUGUAUCUUAAAAUCGGCGUGUUCCACGCAGGCAUGUGCCUUGAACGAUUUACCAUAGCAUAAUCAGAGUAUGGAACUGCUUCCUUGUUUGUUCGGAAGCUCUUUCGAUACUGAUAGGAACGGUUGAGGGCAUUCGUAUUCGACUGCUAGAGGUGAAAUUCUUUGAUUAGUCGAGGACGAACCAUUGCGAAAGCAUCUGCCAAGGACGUUUCCUUUGA
rnacentral:rRNA from 1 species